rnacentral:lncRNA from 1 species
GGGGGUUGAUGAAGAUGAGCAGCAAUGUGCAACCUUUUCUUGGUCAAAAAGGGUGAGUUAAGCAUGCCGAUAGAGAUGGCCGCAUGGGGAUGGUAAGUAAGCUGGUCUUAAUUUUCCUUUGCCCUCAGGCUGUCACCAUUCUUGAUUUCUCAACACUAACAUCAUCAUCUUCCCUGCAGAAAAUGUUGAAGAAACGAAACUGCCUGCGUUGGUUGGGCUUCCAGAUUUAAUCAAACCUUUGACUUUUGAAGGGUUCCAUGAAUCCAACAAGGUUACAUCAGGUCCACCUUUUUCACACGUUGUACGGAUGUAUGUGUCACACCAUCAACCGCAUUUGAUUUGACCUAUAAAUAUAGAAAUUAUAGUAGAUAUCUAUAAUAAUAGAGAACACAGCAUCAAAGAUGAGCGAGCUAUUGAGAUGAAGGAUUCAAGAAGAAGAAAAAGAAGACAUCUUUGAGGUGACUUUAUGAUUCAAUAAGAAGAAUGUCUUUGUUGGCUUUAUGAUGCGAAGAAGAAGAAUAUUUUUAUUAAGAUAUUUAUGUAUUAUUAUAGUACGAGUG